rnacentral:rRNA from 1 species
AAUGAACGCUGGCGGCAUGCCUUACACAUGCAAGUCGAACGGCAGCAUGACCUAGCUUGCUAGGUUGAUGGCGAGUGGCGAACGGGUGAGUAAUGCAUCGGAACGUGCCUUUUAGUGGGGGAUAACGUAGCGAAAGUUACGCUAAUACCGCAUAUUCUCUGUGGAGGAAAGCAGGGGACCUUCGGGCCUUGCGCUAGAAGAGCGGCCGAUGUCGGAUUAGCUAGUUGGUGAGGUAAAGGCUCACCAAGGCGACGAUCCGUAGCGGGUCUGAGAGGAUGAUCCGCCACACUGGAACUGAGACACGGCCCAGACUCCUACGGGAGGCAGCAGUGGGGAAUUUUGGACAAUGGGCGCAAGCCUGAUCCAGCCAUGCCGCGUGGGUGAAGAAGGCCUUCGGGUUGUAAAGCUCUUUCGGCUGGGAAGAAAUCGCACCCUCUAAUACAGGGUGUGGAUGACGGUACCAGCAUAAGAAGCACCGGCUAACUACGUG